rnacentral:rRNA from 1 species
UACAGAGGGUGCGAGCGUUAAUCGGAAUUACUGGGCGUAAAGCGCGCGUAGGCGGCUUUGCAAGUCGGGUGUGAAAUCCCCAGGCUUAACCUGGGAACUGCAUUCGAGACUGCAUUGCUAGAGUAUGGGAGAGGGAAGUGGAAUUUCCGGUGUAGCGGUGAAAUGCGUAGAUAUCGGAAGGAACAUCAGUGGCGAAAGCGACUUCCUGGACCAAUACUGACGCUCGUGUGCGAAAGCGUGGGGAGCAAACAGG